CUUGUUUAUGCCUCUCUCUCUCUCUCUCUCUCUCUCUCUCUCUCUCUCCUACACUUCUUUUCAAUAUAUCAGUACUCACUUCAUCACCUGAUUUUUGCAGCAGAUGGAGCACAGAGAAAUAAUAGAGAGUUAAAAGAGGACCCCUUUGCUUUGAUUGCUCAAAUCAUGAGAUAUUUUUGUCUGUGUGUUUGUGAAGAAUUAAGGUCAAAGAAAAGAUGGUGUUUGGAAUGAAGUUUGAUCCAAGAUCCCUCCUCCACUCCCUUUCAUCCACAUCUCUUCUACUUUCGUUUUCUUUUUAUAUAUAUACAUGUAUAUAUAUUAAUUCUCUCAUUAAUGUUUACCCUAUAAAUUCUUUCCCUAGUUAGAACAAUAAUUAACAAUAAAGGGAAGAAGGUUUUUCUUUUUCUUUUUCCCUUUUUUUGUUUUGUUUGGGGUUUCAUUUAGCUCUCUAAAUGAUCACAUGCACAUAAAAACCGAAUAGUGUUUUGAUAAGAAUGAAGAAUGAGAGUGAGAUAUUCCAUUUUGACAUCUUUAGAUUUGUCUUCUUUUGUGGGUAGGAAAAAUGAUUUUUUUUUUUCAUAGUAUUGUAGGAGGUAAGGAUAUUCACAAAUAGUUUCUUGAUUACUAACAAAUAUGUGUCAAUUGAACUAUAGGUUCCAUCUUUAUCUUCCUAAAAAACUUGCAUGUACUCUCACCUAUACACUACUUAGAGGCUUAACCCUACUCUAAGGUUUUCAUCAACACUCCCACUCAAAACCAUGACAUAUGCUUUUUCUUAUGCUUUUCUGUACAUGUAGGUUUUUUUUUUCAACUUCCUUUUGAGUAUUUCUCUUUGGGUAUAUUUGUUCAAUUUUGGUACUAUGUUAGGGUUUUGUAGGUAGUCAUAUAUAGUAUAUAUAAAGUUUGUUAUGGAUCUCGGACCAGGCUUCAUUCCUCACACCAAUCUUUUCAACCCUACAAACGCCACUUUACUGUAGAAUAAACGACGCUAUAGAGUACAUAACACACAAAUUAACGGUAAUAGAUAGAAAAUCGAACCUCCAACGUCGAGAUUGAUAGUAUAAGCUUACCGACGAAAAUAAGGUUAUCUUCUAAUUUUCUUGGAUAAGUUUUAUACUCAUUUAGUUAAAUGAUAAUAAAAAAAUCAUGAUGGUAGAAAAAAAAUUCAUAAAAUUGUUCUCUUCAUGCUUUAAUAAUUCAAGUAUGCUCUCCAAUAUUACUUAACAAGUUUAUUUAUUUAUUUACUUUUGUUACUAACUACAUCAACCAUAGAUUUGAUAUAGGCUUAGAAGUUCGAACCCUCUAAAGGUUUUUAGAGAUCUGCCACUGACAAUAGGUUUUUGGUUCAAAGUAUUUAGAUUUUUUUAAUUUAAGUGUUAGUUUAUAGAAAUUUGCUUCUAGUUAUGAGGUCUUUAUUUAUAUAUAUAUAUGUAUAUAUAUAAUGAAGUUGUAAAAUUCUCAAAAUGGAAACCAAUUAUUAACAUUAGACCCUUGUUUGUGAUAGAAGGGGAAAAAUGAUCAAUUACAUAUAAAUUACAAGUGUUGUAAAAUGUUUUUAUUUUAAGUACAUGUAAAUUGAUUUUCAAUAUUGUUAAUUUUUUUUUCUUUUUACAAUAUAGGAAGUGAGAGGAUUGAAUUUAACGUAAUUAAAGUUUCUUUAACAAAAGGAGUAAAUAUGGAAAAAAAAACCCCUUUUUUUCUUUUUUUUUUUUUGAUUUAUAAUUUUGGACAUAUAAUAUCAAAAAGUGCUUUGAAAAUAGAGUAGGAAAAAAUAGUAACUAAACGUUAGUUCACAAAUAACCAACCCUUUAGUAAUCUUGGUUAAUUAGUCGUUUAUUAAUUUAAAAUAAGUGUAUAUAUAUAUAGGGUUGAGCGUUGUAAAAGUAACAAAAAAAAAACCCUAAUAGAGUCUAUGUCAUUGUAUUUUCUAAAUUGCAAGAGUAGUAAAUUUAAAAGUCGAUAAACCUAUAAUUACCAUCUGAUAGUCCUUCAGUAAUCCUAUAAUUACCGUCUAGUAUCACCAAUUUUGUCAUAUUCGUAGUGUGGAAAAAAAAAGUGUUAUGGAUUGUUUUUUUUCUAAAUGUUUUUAUUAUUUGAUACAAUUUUGUAUGUGUAUGUAUAUGAUUCAAUAUGGUAUGUAUAUCGUUAUCGGUUGGCAAUGCUAUUCAAUGAAAAAGAGUUAUUAGUAUAGAAUCAAUAUAACCAUUGUGAUUAAAUUGACGAUAAUGAUGUAUUAGUAGAAAUUGAUUACAUUCACCAUCUUUGAUUCAAAACAAGAAAAAAACUAUUUGAAUAAUCAUAUUUUAGAGCAAAGAAUCCAACUUUAGAAAGAUGUCAAACAACGAUAAAUAGUAUUAUAAGUUCAGUGUGGACCUUCGUAUUCAUUAUUAUUUACACCAAAAUGCCUCUUUCAUGUAGUGUGUUAGUAAGAUAUUUAUUUAAAUGGUGUGUCUUUAAAACUUUAAUUCCAAAUUUAGAUACUUUUUGGUUGGUGGUGAGAGUAGUUUUCAACUUAUACCAUUUUCCAUUUUCUUAUAUGAACUUAUACCCAUUGGUGUAAUGAUGUAUAUAACAAGUGUCAAUGGGAUGGGAUGGGGACAAUGUUAGGCUAACUUUUUAUCUGUUGAAAUUUCUCUUCUUCCCACUAAAAUUUGUGGUUGAAAAACUUAUGAUGGUGGAGAACUUUAUGAGAAUGACUUCUUUACUCCUUUUCUUUUUAUUUGAAUUAUAUACAAACUAUCUUUUAACUUUUUAA